CUUGAUCCCUGGGCUGGCACUUAGAACUUAAACAAUAGGGUCCAAGUGGAGCUCCUCUUCUGAGAGAGCUGAAUGAUUAGCUGCAUUAUUUAAGGCUCAUUUUAGACAUCUCCCAGCCGCUUGUCACCAAUUUUAUUCCUCAGGAUUGAUUUUAGACUUCAGACAUAAUAUUCGAUGAUAUAUACUAUAGUUAAGUUUAGCAAAUAUGGACUGAGGACAUUUUAAAUACUGAGACUUUUUUUAUGACUACAAUUUAUUGUGGGCCCUGUCUUCGGUGAGCUAAUGGUCUAAUACAGGAGACAGGAGACAGACCUCCAAAUUGCAGUGUAGCAUAAUGAGGGCAAUGAUAGAGAUAUGUGCUGGCUAACACAAAGACAUAGAAGACAGGUACCUACCCUGGCAUGGGAGCUCAAGGAGACUUCCUUGACAUUUACGCUGACUGCAGGAUAAGUAGGAGUUAGCCAGGUGGAAACUGUCAUCUCUAUCUUGCUAGACUUUAAGCAUAUACUGCUGUUAAUAAAGCCCAGGUUAUGCUGUUUGCAAAGAUAAAAUGUGUUCCUGACAUAAUCUGGUCAAAGGGACAGAAAGACAGAAAUGCUAAGGACAAUUCAGCAGCAUGACCAGAUAAAAAACACCAUAUUUCAUAUGCAAAAGUCAACUCAAUUGAAACAUUUGUAAAACCAAAUUUGACAUUAUAAAAGUAUAUCAGAGAUCUCAUUUUAUAAGGAAAUAGAAGCCCUUUCCUACCAUAAAC
rnacentral:lncRNA from 10 species